GGGUUGUGAGGUUAAGCGACUAAGCGUACACGGUGGAUGCCCUGGCAGUCAGAGGCGAUGAAGGACGUGCUAAUCUGCGAUAAGCGUCGGUAAGGUGAUAUGAACCGUUAUAACCGGCGAUUUCCGAAUGGGGAAACCCAGUGUGUUUCGACACACUAUCAUUAACUGAAUCCAUAGGUUAAUGAGGCGAACCGGGGGAACUGAAACAUCUAAGUACCCCGAGGAAAAGAAAUCAACCGAGAUUCCCCCAGUAGCGGCGAGCGAACGGGGAGCAGCCCAGAGCCUGAAUCAGUGUGUGUGUUAGUGGAAGCGUCUGGAAAGGCGCGCGAUACAGGGUGACAGCCCCGUACACAAAAAUGCACAUACUGUGAGCUCGAUGAGUAGGGCGGGACACGUGGUAUCCUGUCUGAAUAUGGGGGGACCAUCCUCCAAGGCUAAAUACUCCUGACUGACCGAUAGUGAACCAGUACCGUGAGGGAAAGGCGAAAAGAACCCCGGCGAGGGGAGUGAAAAAGAACCUGAAACCGUGUACGUACAAGCAGUGGGAGCACGCUUAGGCGUGUGACUGCGUACCUUUUGUAUAAUGGGUCAGCGACUUAUAUUCUGUAGCAAGGUUAACCGAAUAGGGGAGCCGAAGGGAAACCGAGUCUUAACUGGGCGUUAAGUUGCAGGGUAUAGACCCGAAACCCGGUGAUCUAGCCAUGGGCAGGUUGAAGGUUGGGUAACACUAACUGGAGGACCGAACCGACUAAUGUUGAAAAAUUAGCGGAUGACUUGUGGCUGGGGGUGAAAGGCCAAUCAAACCGGGAGAUAGCUGGUUCUCCCCGAAAGCUAUUUAGGUAGCGCCUCGUGAAUUCAUCUCCGGGGGUAGAGCACUGUUUCGGCAAGGGGGUCAUCCCGACUUACCAACCCGAUGCAAACUGCGAAUACCGGAGAAUGUUAUCACGGGAGACACACGGCGGGUGCUAACGUCCGUCGUGAAGAGGGAAACAACCCAGACCGCCAGCUAAGGUCCCAAAGUCAUGGUUAAGUGGGAAACGAUGUGGGAAGGCCCAGACAGCCAGGAUGUUGGCUUAGAAGCAGCCAUCAUUUAAAGAAAGCGUAAUAGCUCACUGGUCGAGUCGGCCUGCGCGGAAGAUGUAACGGGGCUAAACCAUGCACCGAAGCUGCGGCAGCGACGCUUAUGCGUUGUUGGGUAGGGGAGCGUUCUGUAAGCCUGUGAAGGUGUACUGUGAGGUAUGCUGGAGGUAUCAGAAGUGCGAAUGCUGACAUAAGUAACGAUAAAGCGGGUGAAAAGCCCGCUCGCCGGAAGACCAAGGGUUCCUGUCCAACGUUAAUCGGGGCAGGGUGAGUCGACCCCUAAGGCGAGGCCGAAAGGCGUAGUCGAUGGGAAACAGGUUAAUAUUCCUGUACUUGGUGUUACUGCGAAGGGGGGACGGAGAAGGCUAUGUUGGCCGGGCGACGGUUGUCCCGGUUUAAGCGUGUAGGCUGGUUUUCCAGGCAAAUCCGGAAAAUCAAGGCUGAGGCGUGAUGACGAGGCACUACGGUGCUGAAGCAACAAAUGCCCUGCUUCCAGGAAAAGCCUCUAAGCAUCAGGUAACAUCAAAUCGUACCCCAAACCGACACAGGUGGUCAGGUAGAGAAUACCAAGGCGCUUGAGAGAACUCGGGUGAAGGAACUAGGCAAAAUGGUGCCGUAACUUCGGGAGAAGGCACGCUGAUAUGUAGGUGAAGUCCCUCGCGGAUGGAGCUGAAAUCAGUCGAAGAUACCAGCUGGCUGCAACUGUUUAUUAAAAACACAGCACUGUGCAAACACGAAAGUGGACGUAUACGGUGUGACGCCUGCCCGGUGCCGGAAGGUUAAUUGAUGGGGUUAGCGGUAACGCGAAGCUCUUGAUCGAAGCCCCGGUAAACGGCGGCCGUAACUAUAACGGUCCUAAGGUAGCGAAAUUCCUUGUCGGGUAAGUUCCGACCUGCACGAAUGGCGUAAUGAUGGCCAGGCUGUCUCCACCCGAGACUCAGUGAAAUUGAACUCGCUGUGAAGAUGCAGUGUACCCGCGGCAAGACGGAAAGACCCCGUGAACCUUUACUAUAGCUUGACACUGAACAUUGAGCCUUGAUGUGUAGGAUAGGUGGGAGGCUUUGAAGUGUGGACGCCAGUCUGCAUGGAGCCGACCUUGAAAUACCACCCUUUAAUGUUUGAUGUUCUAACGUUGACCCGUAAUCCGGGUUGCGGACAGUGUCUGGUGGGUAGUUUGACUGGGGCGGUCUCCUCCUAAAGAGUAACGGAGGAGCACGAAGGUUGGCUAAUCCUGGUCGGACAUCAGGAGGUUAGUGCAAUGGCAUAAGCCAGCUUGACUGCGAGCGUGACGGCGCGAGCAGGUGCGAAAGCAGGUCAUAGUGAUCCGGUGGUUCUGAAUGGAAGGGCCAUCGCUCAACGGAUAAAAGGUACUCCGGGGAUAACAGGCUGAUACCGCCCAAGAGUUCAUAUCGACGGCGGUGUUUGGCACCUCGAUGUCGGCUCAUCACAUCCUGGGGCUGAAGUAGGUCCCAAGGGUAUGGCUGUUCGCCAUUUAAAGUGGUACGCGAGCUGGGUUUAGAACGUCGUGAGACAGUUCGGUCCCUAUCUGCCGUGGGCGCUGGAGAACUGAGGGGGGCUGCUCCUAGUACGAGAGGACCGGAGUGGACGCAUCACUGGUGUUCGGGUUGUCAUGCCAAUGGCACUGCCCGGUAGCUAAAUGCGGAAGAGAUAAGUGCUGAAAGCAUCUAAGCACGAAACUUGCCCCGAGAUGAGUUCUCCCUGACUCCUUGAGAGUCCUGAAGGAACGUUGAAGACGACGACGUUGAUAGGCCGGGUGUGUAAGCGCAGCGAUGCGUUGAGCUAACCGGUACUAAUGAACCGUGAGGCUUAACCUUACAACGCCGAAG
rnacentral:rRNA from 1 species